rnacentral:rRNA from 1 species
AGGACGAACGCUGGCGGCGUGCUUAACACAUGCAAGUCGAGCGGAAAGGCCCUUUGGGGUACUCGAGCGGCGAACGGGUGAGUAACACGUGAGUAAUCUGCCCUUCACUCUGGGAUAGCCCUCCGGAAAGGGGGAUUAAUACCGGAUACGACGCGCUCCUGCAUGGGGGUGUGUGGAAACUUUUUGGGGUGGGGGAUGUGCUCGCGGCCUAUC